CAAGGUCAUUUUUAAAUCACAAUCUCUCUCUCCCUCCUCUGGCCGAGAGCUAAGGGAAAUCUUGCGUUUUCCCCUCCAGCGCUGCCAUUUUACCUUGUCGUUUUUUCCUCCAGUGAGGGAGAACGAAGGAGACCCUGUCAUUUUUCCCUCAACUCUAUCUCUCCAUCUACUCACUCUGACCAAGAAUGAGAGCUAACGAAACCCUACUGUUUUGCCCUCAACUCUGUAUCUCCUUCUACUCUAACCGAGAACAAGAGGUAAGGAAACCCUAUUGUUUUUCCCUCCGGCGAAGAAAAGCGAAGGAGACCCUGUUGUUUUCCCCUCGGAGAGUAUGGAUUUCUGCUCCUAUAGUGCUCUUUUACCUUCCUUCUUCUACAAGAUGGAUUUGUGUACUUUCAGUGCUCAACCGUGUUACCCCGAAACUUUACCACACUACCCCCUUCUCUCUUCUUCUCCUACACUUCUUGUAGUUCAUACCAGCUGAGUUGAUAGUGUUGUCUGCUUCGUCAGAUUACCGGCGACCGUUUAGGAGAUUACAUCGGUAAGUAAUCAAUCUCCUUUUUUCCCUCAACUCUGUAUCUCCUUCUACUCUUAACUGAGAAUGAAGGUAAGGAACCCCUAUUAUUUUUCCCUCCGGUGAAGGAGAGCGAAAGAGACCCUGCUGUUUUCCCCUCGGACAGUAUGGAUUUUUGCUCCUAAAGUGAUCUUUUCUCUUGUUCGAUCUUUGCAACCCUCUUUUGCCCCCUCCCUCUUCUUCUCGGUCCCAAAGUCCCAAACCCUACCUUCUUCUACAAAAUGGAUUUGUCUUCGUUCGAUGCUCAACCGUGUUACCCCGAAAUUCUAUCACCCUACCCCCUUCUCUCUUCUUCUCCUACACUUCUUGUAAUUCAUACCAGCUGAGCUGAUAGUGUUGUCUGCUUCAUCGAAUUACCGGCGACUGUUUAGAAGAUUACAUCAAUAAGUAAUCAAUCUGGCAUUCGUUCAAGAAAUUAAGUGGGUGGACACGUGUAUUGCUGGUCGUCGCUUCAUACGAAACCUACCAGUGGUUAUGGUCCAACUGAUUAUUCAGCUUUAUCAACAAGACCAAAUACAAAUUUCCUUACUGAUGCCUGGUGGGACAACCCCCAGCCAAGAACCACAACACCAGAUGCACAAAGUUGAACAUGGACUACAUCAUGUAUUACUUAAAUUUAGUCAUUAGUCCUCUAUGUAUUUGUGAACAAGCAACAUUUUUAGCCUUCUUUUUUGUUUAUUUAAAAUCUUUUUUCUUACUAUUUUCUCAGUCUUUUUUUUUUAUUUUUUAUUUUAAGUAGUUAGGUUUUAUUUUCUAAUUCACCAUUUUUCCAUUUCUUGAACUCAAUGUAUAGAGAAUUUGCUUGGAGGAAGCAAGUAAAACUCAAAGUAUUGACAAAUUUAUGCUACAUCACUUCUGAA